GCCGGGCAUGGUGGUGCAUGCCUGUAAUCCCAGCUACUCAGGAGGCUGAGGCAGAAGGAUUGCUUGAACCUGGGAGGCGGAGGUUGCAGUGAGCCAAGAUCGUGCCAUUGCACUCCAGCCUAGGCAACAGAGCAAGAGUCUGUCUCAA
ensembl:misc_RNA Metazoa_SRP Metazoan signal recognition particle RNA